rnacentral:rRNA from 1 species
GUUUGAUCAUGGCUCAGGACGAACGCUGGCGGCGUGCUUAACACAUGCAAGUCUACGACGAUAAUUGAGCAAUCGAUUAUUGGAGUGGCGGACGGGUGCGUAACGCGUAUGAAACCUGCCUUUUGUUCGGGGAUAACACUUCCAACGAGGUGCUAAUACCCGAUGAUGCCGUUUUCUUUCAUGGGAAGACGGUCAAAGCUUCGGCGACGAGAGAUGGUCAUGCGUCCCAUUAGGUAGUUGGUAGGGUAACGGCCUACCAAGCCGACGAUGGGUAGCUGGUCUGAGAGGAUGAUCAGCCACACUGGAACUGAGAAACGGUCCAGACUCCUACGGGAGGCAGCAGUGAGGAAUAUUGCGCAAUGGGCGAAAGCCUGACGCAGCAACGCCGCGUGCGGGAAGAAGGCUCUUCGAGUUGUAAACCGCUGUAGCAGGGAAAAAAGAUGCACUUUACGGAGUGUAGUGAUGGUACCCUGAAAGUAAGCCUCGGCUAACUACGUGCCAGCAGCCGCGGUAAUACGUAGGAGGCAAGCGUUGUCCGGAUUUACUGGGUGUAAAGGGUCCGCAGGCGGGCCUGUGAGUCAGUGGUGAAAUCCUCCAGCUUAACUGGAGAUCGGCCUCUGAUACUGCAGGUCUUGAAUCAAGGAGAGGGGGACGGAAUUCCAGGUGUAGCGGUGAUAUGCUUAGAUAUCUGGAAGAACACCGGUGGCGAAGGCUGUUCCCUGGCCUUAGAUUGACGCUCAUGGACGAAAGCGUGGGGAUCAAACAGGAUUAGAUACCCUGGUAGUCCACGCUGUAAACGAUGGAUACUCGGUGUCGGGUCGCAAGAUUCGGUGCCUAAGCAAACGCAGUAAGUAUCCCACCUGGGGAGUACGAUCGCAAG